GACGAACCGAGCGAACGUUAUUCGGAAUCACUGGGCUUAAAGGGUGCGUAGGCGGGUUUUUAAGUCAGGGGUGAAAUCCUGGAGCUCAACUCCAGAACUGCCUUUGAUACUGAAGAUCUUGAGUUCGGGAGAGGUGAGUGGAACUGCGAGUGUAGAGGUGAAAUUCGUAGAUAUUCGCAAGAACACCAGUGGCGAAGGCGGCUCACUGGCCCGAUACUGACGCUGAGGCACGAAAGCGUGGGGAGCAAACAGG
rnacentral:rRNA from 1 species